GGGAAGGAUGAGAAGCUUCGACCAAGGUUCGACUCGAGCGAAGCGAGAGAACGUUGCCGCAGGCAAUGGCCCGAAGGCGAGGCGCUUUAGCGCCGAGUAAUCCUUACCCCACCACU
rnacentral:sRNA from 1 species